UAACUUUGGUAUUCUCACUGCCUAUUGUC
rnacentral:piRNA from 1 species